rnacentral:rRNA from 1 species
AGCUCCAAUAGCGUAUAUUAAAGUUGUUGCAGUUAAAAAGCUCGUAGUUGAACUUUGGGCGUGGUUGGUUGGUCCGCCUAACGGUGUGUACUGAUCGGCCGCGCCUUUCCUUCUGGGAAACCAAGUUGCUCUUUACUGAGUGACUUGGCGAUCCAGGACUUUUACCUUGAAAAAAUUAGAGUGUUCAAAGCAGGCUUUCGCUUGAAUACAUUAGCAUGGAAUAAUAAAAUAGGACAUUGGUUCUAUUUUGUUGGUUUCUAGGACCGAUGUAAUGAUUAAUAGGGAUAGUUGGGGGCAUUAGUAUUUAAUUGUCAGAGGUGAAAUUCUUGGAUUUAUGAAAGACUAACUUCUGCGAAAGCAUUUGCCAAGGAUGUUUUCA